rfam:Ktedonobacter racemifer DSM 44963 strain SOSP1-21 Krac_Contig206, whole genome shotgun sequence.
CCUGGGGUUCUGCCCCCAGUACCCUACCAAGACAUGCGGUUGGAGUAAUCCGGUGGUGUGAAGCUCUUGGAACAAUGGAUGCCUCGCUUGCAAAAGCGGUAGUGAACCCGCGAGGAGUUCACUACGACUGCUAGCAUCAAAGCGGUCGGGAAC